AGCUUUUGAAAUACCUGAGAAAUAGGAACGGCCUUUGAACUUUCUCAAAUGAAAUAAGCUCUGGAGAAGAAGUAGUUUCUGGAGCUCUGUACCAUAAUGACCGAUAUGCCCAAGUGUGUACAGACCAAAGAGGUGGUACUUCCAUCAAGCAACCAAAUUUGAGACUGAGAUACCCUCACAGAUUUUUACUCACUGGCUUCUAGAAGGGAUUCAUUGAUGGAGGAGAAGAGCAUCUCAGAAGGUGGAGGUUGAAGACAGGCAUGAAGAAUUUGGGAGUUCAGUCCCCGGUACAGCCGUACAGAG